rnacentral:tRNA from 1 species
AAGACACUAGUAAAAAAGCAAUUAUACUGCCUUGUCGAGGCAAAGUCGUGGGUUAAAACCCCACGUGUCUUA